rnacentral:rRNA from 1 species
UACGUAGGGUGCAAGCGUUAAUCGGAAUUACUGGGCGUAAAGCGUGCGCAGGCGGUUUUGUAAGUCAGAUGUGAAAUCCCCGGGCUUAACCUGGGAACUGCGUUUGAAACUACAAGGGCUAGAGUGUGACAGAGGGGGGUGGAAUUCCACGUGUAGCAGUGAAAUGCGUAGAGAUGUGGAGGAACACCGAUGGCGAAGGCAGCCCCCUGGGUUAACACUGACGCUCAGGCACGAAAGCGUGGGGAGCAAACAGG